rnacentral:rRNA from 1 species
GACGAACGCUGGCGGCGUGCUUAACACAUGCAAGUCGAACGGAAAGGCCCUGCUUUUGUGGGGUGCUCGAGUGGCGAACGGGUGAGUAACACGUGAGUAACCUGCCCUUGACUUUGGGAUAACUUCAGGAAACUGGGGCUAAUACCGGAUAGGAGCUCCUGCUGCAUGGUGGGGGUUGGAAAGUUUCGGCGGUUGGGGAUGGACUCGCGGCUUAUCAGCUUGUUGGUGGGGUAGUGGCUUACCAAGGCUUUGACGGGUAGCCGGCCUGAGAGGGUGACCGGCCACAUUGGGACUGAGAUACGGCCCAGACUACUACGGGAGGCAGCAGUGGGGAAUAUUGCACAAUGGGCGGAAGCCUGAUGCAGCAACGCCGCGUGCGGGAUGACGGCCUUCGGGUUGUAAACCGCUUUCGCCUGUGACGAAGCGUGAGUGACGGUAAUGUGUAAAGAAGCACCGGCUAACUACGUG